rnacentral:tRNA from 1 species
GGCGCUGUGGCUCAAGUGGUAGAGCACUUGCCUUGAGCUGAAGAGUGCAAGCACAGCGCCU